GAUUAUUGGGCCUAAGCAUCCGUAGCUCGUUUUGUAAGUUUUCGGUUAAAUCCAUGCGCUUAACGUAUGGGCUGCCGGGAAUACUGCAUAACUAGGAAGUGGGAGAGGUAGACGGKACUCGGUAGGAAGGGGUAAAAUCSUUUGAUCUAUUGAUGACCACCUGUGGCGAARGSGGUCUACCARAACACGUUCGACGGUGAGGGAUGAAAGCUGGGGGARCAAACCGGAUUAGAUACCCGGGUAGUCCCAGCUGUAAACUAUGCAAACUCAGUGAUGCAUUGGCUUGUGGCCAAUGCAGUGCUGCAGGGAAGCCGUUAAGUUUGCCGCCUGGGAAGUACGUACGCAAGUAUGAAACUUAAAGGAAUUG
rnacentral:rRNA from 1 species